GGUGGAUUGAAGACCAAAUAGUUUCUUUUAACGGUAAACUUAUUUCAGUCGAUAUUUUCAAACCUUUUGUUGAUUUAAGGUGGUACCUAACACUACAGGGAGAUAACUCUGUAAAAUCAGCUAAACGUUUUAAUUACGUUGUGUUGUUAAGGGAAUAUUAAUCUUCUCAAUGAUCAAAAUAAGUGUCUGUCAAACUGCUAUAUAACCAGUGUAAUUUUUCUGAUAAAACGGUUGGUUCAAAUUUUUUGAAAUUUUCAUAUUUUUGUAAAAGGGUAAAAGUAAAUACUUUGUCAAAAAUUUUAAGAAAAUUAAACGAGCCAAAUUAAUUUUAGUUAAAGUGUUGG
rnacentral:lncRNA from 1 species